AAUGAACGCUGGCGGCGUGCCUAACACAUGCAAGUCGGAUGUGCCCGCAAGGGUGCAUGGCAGACGGGUGAGUAACGCGUGGGGAAUCUACCUUUUAGUGGGGAAUAACGCUCCGAAAGGAGUGGUAAUACCGCAUGUGACCAUUGGCUGGGAUGCUGAUGGUGAAACCCUGGGACCUUCGGGCCAGGGGCUAGAAGAGGAUCCUGCGUCUGAUUAGCUAGUUGGCGGGGUAACGGCCCACCAAGGCGACGAUCAGUAGCCGGCCUGAGAGGGUGAUCGGCCACACUGGAACUGAGACACGGUCCAGACUCCUACGGGAGGCAGCAGUGGGGAAUAUUGCACAAUGGGCGCAAGCCUGAUGCAGCGACGCCGCGU
rnacentral:rRNA from 1 species